rnacentral:piRNA from 1 species
UAGGAAGCCAAACUCCAAAAUUCUGCCCAAC